GACGAACGCUGGCGGCGUGCCUAAUACAUGCAAGUCGAACGCAGUGGGGACGGGUGAGUAACACGUGGGUAACCUCCCAUCAGAGGGGAUAACACUUGGAAACAGGUGCUAAACCGAUACUGAUGGAUGGACCCGCGGUGCAUUAGCUAGUUGGUGAGGUAACGGCCGACCAAGGCCACGAUGCAUAGCCGAACUGAGAGGGUGGUCGGCGACACUGGGACUGAGACACGGCCCAGACUCCUACGAGAGGCAGCGGUAGGAGAUAUUCGGAAAUGGACGAAAGUCUGACCGAGCAAAGCCGCGUGAGUGAAGGAGGUUUUCGGAUCGUAAAACUCUGUUGUUAGAGAAGCGGUAUCUAACCAGAAAGCCACGGCUAACUACGGGCCAGCAGCCGCGGUAAUAC
rnacentral:rRNA from 1 species